rnacentral:rRNA from 1 species
GACGAACGCUGGCGGCGUGCUUAACACAUGCAAGUCGAACGGAAAGGCCCUGCUUUUGUGGGGUGCUCGAGUGGCGAACGGGUGAGUAACACGUGAGUAACCUGCCCUUGACUUUGGGAUAACUUCAGGAAACUGGGGCUAAUACCGGAUAGGAGCUCCUGCUGCAUGGUGGGGGUUGGAAAGUUUCGGCGGUUGGGGAUGGACUCGCGGCUUAUCAGCUUGUUGGUGGGGUAGUGGCUUACCAAGGCUUUGACGGGUAGCCGGCCUGAGAGGGUGACCGGCCACAUUGGGACUGAGAUACGGCCCAGACUCCUACGGGAGGCAGCAGUGGGGAAUAUUGCACAAUGGGCGGAAGCCUGAUGCAGCAACGCCGCGUGCGGGAUGACGGCCUUCGGGUUGUAAACCGCUUUCGCCUGUGACGAAGCGUGUGUGACGGUAAUGGGUAAAGAAGCACCGGCUAACUACGUGCCAGCAGCCGCGGUGAUACGUAGGGUGCGAGCGUUGUCCGGAUUUAUUGGGCGUAAAGGGCUCGUAGGUGGUUGAUCGCGUCGGAAGUGUAAUCUUGGGGCUUAACCCUGAGCGUGCUUUCGAUACGGGUUGACUUGAGGAAGGUAGGGGAGAAUGGAAUUCCUGGUGGAGCGGUGGAAUGCGCAGAUAUCAGGAGGAACACCAGUGGCGAAGGCGGUUCUCUGGGCCUUUCCUGACGCUGAGGAGCGAAAGCGUGGGGAGCGAACAGGCUUAGAUACCCUGGUAGUCCACGCUGUAAACGGUGGGUACUAGGUGUGGGGUCCAUUCCACGGGUUCCGUGCCGUAGCUAACGCUUUAAGUACCCCGCCUGGGGAGUACGGCCGCAAGGCUAAAACUCAAAGGAAUUGACGGGGCCCCGCACAAGCGGCGGAGCAUGCGGAUUAAUUCGAUGCAACGCGUAGAACCUUACCUGGGUUUGACAUGGAUCGGGAGCGCUCAGAGAUGGGUGUGCCUCUUUUGGGGUCGGUUCACAGGUGGUGCAUGGCUGUCGUCAGCUCGUGUCGUGAGAUGUUGGGUUAAGUCCCGCAACGAGCGCAACCCUUGUUCACUGUUGCCAGCACGUUAUGGUGGGGACUCAGUGGAGACCGCCGGGGUCAACUCGGAGGAAGGUGGGGAUGACGUCAAGUCAUCAUGCCCCUUAUGUCCAGGGCUUCACGCAUGCUACAAUGGCUGGUACAGAGAGUGGCGAGCCUGUGAGGGUGAGCGAAUCUCGGAAAGCCGGUCUCAGUUCGGAUUGGGGUCUGCAACUCGACCUCAUGAAGUCGGAGUCGCUAGUAAUCGCAGAUCAGCAACGCUGCGGUGAAUACGUUCCCGGG